UACGUAGGGUGCGAGCGUUAAUCGGAAUUACUGGGCGUAAAGCGUGCGCAGGCGGUUAUGAAAGACAGGCGUGAAAUCCCCGGGCUUAACCUGGGAACGGCGCUUGUGACUCCAUGGCUAGAGUACGGCAGAGGGGGGGUGGAAUUCCACGUGUAGCAGUGAAAUGCGUAGAGAUGUGGAGGAACACCGAUGGCGAAGGCAGCCCCCCUGGGCCAGUACUGACGCUCAUGCACGAAAGCGUGGGGAGCAAACAGG
rnacentral:rRNA from 1 species